UAGAUACCCCACUAUGCUUAAACGCACUAAGACCCACUCCGCCAGAAAAUUACGAGCGAAAGCCUAAAACUCAAAAGACUUGACGGUGUUCCAACCUCCCUAGAGGAGCCUGUUCCAUAAUCGACAACCCACGAUAUACCUUACCACCCCUUGAACUCCAGCCUAUAUACCGCCGUCAUACAGCCCACCUUUUAAAAGAAUAUAAGCAGGCCAAAUAGUAAUAUACUAACAAGUCAGGUCAAGGUGUAGCUAAUGGGGUGGAGGAAAUGGGCUACAU
rnacentral:rRNA from 1 species